UAACUUCCAGGUGAGUUAGAAAUUGAUUGCCUAAAUUGUUUUGGUAAUUUAAAUUCGAUUUCUAUUCAUAGGUGC
rnacentral:pre_miRNA from 1 species